UACGUAGGUGGCAAGCGUUGUCCGGAUUUAUUGGGUUUAAAGGGUGCGUAGGCGGCUUUGUAAGUCAGUGGUGAAAUAUGGCAGCUUAACUGUCAAGGUGCCAUUGAUACUGCGGAGCUUGAGUACAGAUGAGGUAGGCGGAAUUGACGGUGUAGCGGUGAAAUGCUUAGAUAUCGUCAAGAGCACCUAUAGCGAAGGCAGCUUACUAGGCUGUAACUGACGCUGAGGCACGAAAGUGUGGGGAUCAAACAGG
rnacentral:rRNA from 1 species